rnacentral:rRNA from 1 species
UACGUAGGUGGCGAGCGUUGUCCGGAAUUACUGGGCGUAAAGGGAGCGUAGGUUGCGAUUUAAGUUAGAUGUGAAAGCCCGUGGCUCAACUACGGAACUGCAUUUAAAACUGGAUUGCUAGAGUACAGGAGGGGUGAGCGGAAUUCCUAGUGUAGCGGUGGAAUGCGUAGAUAUUAGGAAGAACACCGGAGGCGAAGGCGGCUCACUGGACUGCAACUGACACUGAGGCUCGAAAGCGUGGGGAGCAAACAGG